GACGAACGCUGGCGGCGUGCUUAACACAUGCAAGUCGAACGGAAAGGCCCUGCUUUUGUGGGGUGCUCGAGUGGCGAACGGGUGAGUAACCCGUGAGUAACCUGCCCUUGACUUUGGGAUAACUUCAGGAAACUGGGGCUAAUACCGGAUAGGAGCUCCUGCUGCAUGGUGGGGGUUGGAAAGUUUCGGCGGUUGGGGAUGGACUCGCGGCUUAUCAGCUUGUUGGUGGGGUAGUGGCUUACCAAGGCAUUGACGGGGAGCCGGCCUGAGAGGGUGACCGGCCACAUUGGGACUGAGAUACGGCCCAGACUCCUACGGGAGGCAGCAGUGUGGAAUAUUGCACGAUGGGCGGAAGCCUGAUGCAGCAACGCCGCGUGCGGGAUGACGGCCUUCGGGUUUUAAACCGCUUUCGCCUGUGACGAAGCGUGAGUGACGGUAAUGGGUAAAGAAGCACCGGCUAACUACGUG
rnacentral:rRNA from 1 species